GAAUUUUUCUCAAUGGGGGAAACCCUGAAGGAGCGACGCCGCGUGGGGGAUGAAGGUCUUCGGAUUGUAAACCCCUGUCACUUGGGAACAAACCUGUUCACCGAAUAGGUGAAGAGCUGAUAGUACCAGGAGAGGACGACGUGACUAACACUGUGCCAGCAUCCGCGGUAAUACAGAGACGUCGAGCGUUGUUCGGAGUCAUUGGCGUAAAGGGUGCGUAGGCGGUGGAGUAAGUCGGGUGUGAAAUCCCAAGGCUCAACCUUGGAAGGGCAUCCGAAACUACUUUGCUCGAGGGCUGGAAGGGAGACUGGAAUUCUCGGUGUAGCGGUGAAAUGCGUAGAUAUCGAGAGGAACACCUGUGGCGAAGGCGGGUCUCUGGACAGUUCCUGACGCUGAGGCACGAAAGCUAGGGUAGCAAACGGG
rnacentral:rRNA from 1 species